CGCGGGAUGGAGCAGCCCGGUAGCUCGUCAGGCUCAUAACCUGAAGGUCACAGGUUCAAAUCCUGUUCCCGCAACCA
rnacentral:tRNA from 6 species